CGAAAUUCCUCUUGACAGGGGACAUCCCGCAGCAAUGCGGGGAAAGAAAAUUUGGCUAUAUGCUGGAAUAACUCAGUAUCCAAAAGUACUUUUCGAAGUAAAAAUCUUUUGGUGGAGUCAAUCAGCAGGGAAGUCUAUUUAUGACCCCUCAACGACUACACGCCAAACCCACGACAUCGUGUCGGGGUGAUGAUAUAGUCUGAACUUCAUAGCGAUAUGAAG
rnacentral:ncRNA from 1 species